rnacentral:rRNA from 1 species
AAUGAACGCUGGCGGCAUGCCUUACACAUGCCAGUCGAACGGCAGCAUGACCUAGCUUGCUAGGUUGAUGGCGAGUGGCGAACGGGUGAGUAAUGCAUCGGAACGUGCCUUUUAGUGGGGGAUAACGUAGCGAAAGUUACGCUAAUACCGCAUAUUCUCUGAGGAGGAAAGCAGGGGACCUUCGGGCCUUGCGCUAGAAGAGCGGCCGAUGUCGGAUUAGCUAGUUGGUGAGGUAAAGGCUCACCAAGGCAACGAUCCGUAGCGGGUCUGAGAGGAUGAUCCGCCACACUGGAACUGAGACACGGCCCAGACUCCUACGGGAGGCAGCAGUGGGGAAUUUUGGACAAUGGGCGCAAGCCUGAUCCAGCCAUGCCGCGUGAGUGAAGAAGGCCUUCGGGUUGUAAAGCUCUUUCGGCUGGGAAGAAAUCGCACCCUCUAAUACAGGGUGUGGAUGACGGUACCAGCAUAAGAAGCACCGGCUAACUACGUG